CACCCUAAUGUCCUUUCCAGAUUUCUACCACCUGCAAGAUGUUACCUAGUUGUGGGCACAGGUUCCUCAAGGUUCCUCAGGCUGCUCAAGAAAAAAGCCAUUACCAAUGGCCUGGCUUUCUAUUACCGAUUGACCAAAACAGAAUCUCCUGGGCUAACUGAUCAUAACCUGCUUCCCAGCUCCACUGCUUGGGCACUCUACGUCUUCAGGUCCUGGUUGUGGAAGGAACAGCCACAUGCCAUGAAUGCUGAUUCAGAGCAUAAAUAGGCUUCCAGGAGACUGAAGACUCUUGCUCCAACCUUGGAAGGACAGACAGAUCCCGUAUGAUUGGUUCCAAUACCAGCUGAAGAAAGAGGAUCAGGGAGAAUGAAUUGCUCUGUACUAACAA